UACGUAGGCAGCAAGCGUUGUUCGGAGUUACUGGGCGUAAAGAGUGUGUAGGCGGUUCUCCAAGUCUGGUGUGAAAUCUCCCGGCUCAACUGGGAGGGUGCAUUGGAAACUGGAGGGCUCGAGUAUGGGAGAGGAAAGCGGAAUUCCUGGUGUAGCGGUGAAAUGCGUAGAUAUCAGGAGGAACACCUGUGGUGUAGACGGCUUUCUGGACCAUCACUGACGCUGAGACACGAAAGCGUGGGGAGCAAACAGG
rnacentral:rRNA from 2 species